UACGGAGGAUUCGAGCGUUAUCCGGAUUUAUUGGGUUUAAAGGGUGCGUAGGCUGUCGGAUAAGUUAGAGGUCAAAUGUCGGGGCUUAACCCCGUGCCUGCCUCUGAUACUGUUCGGCUAGAGAGUAGUUGCGGUAGGCGGAAUGUAUGGUGUAGCGGUGAAAUGCUUAGAGAUCAUACAGAACACCGAUUGCGAAGGCAGCUUACCAAGCUACUUCUGACGUUGAGGCACGAAAGCGUGGGGAGCAAACAGG
rnacentral:rRNA from 1 species